CUUGGUCAUUUAGAGGAAGUAAAAGUCGUAACAAGGUUUCCGUAGGUGAACCUGCGGAAGGAUCAUUAUUGUAAAACCGAGGCACAAAGAGCUGUCGCUGACCUUCAAAGGUUGUGCACGCUCGAGUGCUCUCACACAUCCAUCUCACCCUUUUUGUGCAUCACCGCGUGGGCCCUCCUUUGCAGGAGGGCUUGCGUUUUCACAUAAAACUUGAUACAGUGUAGAAUGUUUUCUUUUCUUUUGCGGUCAAACGCAAUUAAUACAACUUUCAACAACGGAUCUCUUGGCUCUCGCAUCGAUGAAGAACGCAGCGAAAUGCGAUACGUAAUGUGAAUUGCAGAAUUCAGUGAAUCAUCGAAUCUUUGAACGCACCUUGCGCCCCUUGGCAUUCCGAGGGGCACACCCGUUUGAGUGUCGUGAAAUCAUCAAAACCUUUUCCUUUGAUCCUCUUUUGGUCGGGAAAAGGAUUUUUGGACUUGGAGGUUCUAUGCUCGCUUUUGAAAGCGAGCUCCUCUCAAAUGAAUUAGUGGGGUCUGCUUUGCUGAUCCUUGACGUGAU
rnacentral:rRNA from 1 species